rnacentral:rRNA from 1 species
UACGUAGGGUGCGAGCGUUGUCCGGAAUUACUGGGCGUAAAGAGCUCGUAGGUGGUUUGUCGCGUCUGCUGUGAAAUUUCGGGGCUCAACCCCGAACUUGCAGUGGGUACGGGCAGACUAGAGUGUGGUAGGGGAGACUGGAAUUCCUGGUGUAGCGGUGAAAUGCGCAGAUAUCAGGAGGAACACCGAUGGCGAAGGCAGGUCUCUGGGCCAUAACUGACGCUGAGAAGCGAAAGCAUGGGGAGCGAACAGG